AACGAACGCUGGCGGCAGGCCUAACACAUGCAAGUCGAGCGAGACCUUCGGGUCUAGCGGCGGACGGGUUAGUAACGCGUGGGAACGUGCCCUUCACUACGGAAUAGUCCCGGGAAACUGGGUUUAAUACCGUAUACGCCCUUCGGGGGAAAGAAUUUCGGUGAAGGAUCGGCCCGCGUCUGAUUAGGUAGUUGGUGGGGUAAUGGCCUACCAAGCCUACGAUCAGUAGCUGGUUUGAGAGGAUGAUCAGCAACACUGGGACUGAGACACGGCCCAGACUCCUACGGGAAGCAGCAGUGGGGAAUCUUAGACAAUGGGGGCAACCCUGAUCUAGCCAUGCCGCGUGAGUGACGAAGGCCUUAGGGUCGUAAAGCUCUUUCGCUGGGGAAGAUAAUGACUGUACCCAGUAAAGAAACCCCGGCUAACUCCGUG
rnacentral:rRNA from 1 species